CACUCAGAUCAAGUAAGCUGUCAUAUGGAUGAAUGUCGCAGGUUGGAAUGAUCCGGAGUAGAACUGUCGGUGUCGUUCCCAUCGUCGUAGGCAUUUUCGGUGGAUUUUGUAGGUCGAUCAACAAUGGUUGCGUGAGUUUUAGCUGUCAAGCUGCUAUGCCGUGCUAGCCGAUUCUUGCGAUCUGGGAUACAAGGGAUGGACGUAUCCUGUGGAAUGAUCGUGUCAGCGAAGGUUUGAAUGUCGCUUAGGACUGGAAAGGAGGGAGUACGGAAACUGUAAUCAGUAUUCAGGAUCUCGCUGUACAUGGGCAAUGUUUAGUUUAGGUGUAUUAAAGUGGUAAUUGUUCGAAGUUAUUUGAAAAGAAUUCUGUUUCAGUGUUUAAGCGCUAAAACUGUUUGUUUUUUGUAAGCAAACGUAUGAUUUAUUGAUCUUCAUUUUUUACUUUAUAACGCUAACGCUAUACAAAUGAUUUUGUUACCAAAUUUAAGUGCGUAUAUAAACAAUAAAUUAAUACUAAAAUAUUUCGAUGAAGACACCAAUGAUGUUUAUUGAUACAUUUUUCUCCUAAGUGCUACUUUCUCAACUUAAAGCAAUAAGUUAUGCAGUAAUUAUACUUCUACGAGUAUAUUUAAACAAAUCAUCAUUCAAAAGCAUUUUACCCAAUACUUAACUUACAUUAAGUAAAAUUUAUCUUUGUCAUUUUAGUCACUUAUUUUUUUAUCAUUCACUAAGCAGUAAGCAAAAUAUAUUUACUAAAAUAAUAAAAAAAAAUACGAUAUUCAUGGUAAGUUGGAUUAGCUAUUUUAUAACACAAACGACUUGAUAUUUUCAUUCAUUAAUUCAGGAAAAUAAAUGUACAAUGAAAAAUAAGUUUUUAUAACCGAUUAAAUUUGUGUAAUGUGUAGUUUUACUCAUCAAUAUAGUAAAAAAAUAUAAUUUGCAUUCAAAUUGUACUAAAGAAUAUUUUAUACUAGCGUAUUUUAGUAACUUAAGUUAGAAUUAAGUAAACAAACAAAAAAAAUAUAAAUAUAAGGAACAUAUAAGGAAAAAAAAGGAAGGCCUUAAAAUAAUAAAUAUAAGGAAGAAAGAAAACUCCGGAUCCGGAUCUGUUUACUCAUCAUCAAGGAAACUUUAAGAAAUAACAUUACUUCAAAUGUCUGCUCGAAGAAAGAUUCAGAAACUUAAACAAUUGCCAAGCUGGAAAUCGAUUAAUGAGUACACAUAAACGCUACAUAGUAAAACUCGCGUGUCCUGUGAUGGAUACAGUAUAUUAUUAUACAUUAGCAUUCAUUGGUGUAUGAAUCGUCAUCGUCAUUGUGUCAGCAAAGACGCAUCAUCAAUUGCACAGAUUUGUGGCUACAAAUAUAUAAAUGAAAAGUGUUAUUUAGAACAUUAUUUAUUGUGUUGUGCAAUAAAAUAGGUCAAUAAUUACCUGUAUCCGGCAGUGCGAACAAUUUCAUUCAUAAACAUGGGUAAAUAUGACGACUGUCAGAUGGGCUAAGCAUGAAAAAAAGUCCUUAAACAAAAUCCCAUUGUUUCGCUAUUGUGUUUGAAAAUCUAAGCCACAGGAGGAUAUUAAGUACGACCAUGCUUUACCUUUAAUGGCGUAUGUAAAAAAAAUUAAGCCUAUAAUCAACAAUGAAUGUUCUAUACCAUCCUAAGCAAAUUCAAAAACAAAUUUGAUCAUGUUAAUUUCUGGCCUCCCACAAGCGGGUCUCACCAGUAUUGACAGAAGAAUGAUCACUCAUCGAUACAAAACAUACAUAAAGUAAUUAAUACAUGUAUACAGGCUAAAUAAAGUGAAGUUGCUAGAAAAUACCUACUACUUGGAAAAACAAUAAUUGGAGAAGAAACCACUACCUAACAACGUGAAACUUUGAUAUUCAAAAUUUUCAAAUCAUAUAUGGCUAAAGCAAAAAAAAUACUUAAGAAUUGAAAUGUAAAAGAAAACACCUUUAGUUACAAAAAUAGAAAGCGAGUCAUAUUUUAUAUUUUCUGGUAAAAUUGUUUAGUUUUAAAUGUUACCAAAUACACCAAAUGUUAUUAGAAAUGAAAGUAACUGCAAAUAGUUUAAUUCAUAUGUGUACAGUCAGUCAUAACCAACAUAAUACCUACGUAAUAUUUUAAGAUAAUCGUUUGUUUUUCUACAUUCGUUGUCUAUGUAUAUUCGUUGUUGGUAUUUACUAUUAUGAGGCAAAUAACAAAUAACUAUGCUUGUUAUUAAUUUGCAUAUACCUACAGAAAAUCCAACUUACCAUGAAUAUAAAAUAAUAUAGUAAGUGCAGAACAAAAACUUAGGGUUUUACAUGGUUUUAUGUUUUCCAGUGGAUCUGGUUAGAGCUAUGUCACGCUAAAUUGUGUUCUUUGCUUUCUUCUUACAAUACUUUUCAAAAGAACACUGUUUCGCAUGAGACGGUUCCUCAAAAAACAUAAUAUCGUGUAUGAGCUAAACUAAAACUUAGGGUUUUACAUGGUUUUAUGUUUUCCAGUGGAUCUGGUUAGAGCCAUGUCACGCUAAAUGGUGUUUAUUGCAUUUCUUCGUACAAUACUUUUCAAUAGAUCACUGUUUCGCAUGAGACGGUUCCUCAAAAAACAUAAUAUCGUGUAUGAGCUAAACAAAAACUUAGGGAUUACAUGGUUUUAUGUUUUCCAGUUGAACUGGUUAGAGCCAUGUCACGCUAAAUAGAAUUCUUGUCAUUUCUUCUUACAAUACUUUUCAAUAAAACACUGUUUCGCAUGAGACGGUUCCUCAAAAAACAUAAUAUCGUGUAUGAGCUAAACAAAAACUUAGGGUUUUACAUGGUUUUAUGUUUUCCAGUGGAUCUGGUUAGAGCUAUGUCACGCUAAAUGGUGUUCUUUGCAUUUCUUCUUACAAUACUUUUCAAUAAAACACUGUUUCGCAUGAGACGGUUCCUCAAAAAACAUAAUAUCGUGUAUAAGCUAAACUAAAACUUAGGGUUUUACAUGGUUUUAUGUUUUCCAGUGUAUCUGGUUAGAGCUAUGUCACGCUAAAUUGUGUUCUUUGCAUUUCUUCUUACAAUACUUUUCAAUAGAACACUGUUUCGCAUGAGACGGUUCCUCAAAAAACAUAAUAUCGUGUAUAAGCUAAACUAAAACUUAGGUUUUAUAUGGUUUUAUGUUUUCCAGUGGAUCUGGUUAGAGCCAUGUCACGCUAAAUGGUGUUUAUUGCAUUUCUUCGUACAAUACUUUUCAAUAGAUCACUGUUUCGCAUGAGACGGUUCCUCAAAAAACAUAAUAUCGUGUAUGAGCUAAACAAAAACUUAGGGAUUACAUGGUUUUAUGUUUUCCAGUUGAACUGGUUAGGGCCAUGUCACGCUAAAUAGAAUUCUUGUCAUUUCUUCUUACAAUACUUUUCAAUAAAACACUGUUUCGCAUGAGACGGUUCCUCAAAAAACAUAAUAUCGUGUAUGAGCUAAACAAAAACUUAGGGUUUUACAUGGUUUUAUGUUUUCCAGUGGAUCUGGUUAGAGCUAUGUCACGCUAAAUGGUGUUCUUUGCAUUUCUUCUUACAAUACUUUUCAAUAAAACACUGUUUCGCAUGAGACGGUUCCUCAAAAAACAUAAUAUCGUGUAUGAGCUAAACAAAAACUUAGGGUUUUACAUGGUUUUAUGUUUUCCAGUGGAUCUGGUUAGAGCCAUGUCACGCUAAAUGGUGUUCUUUGCAUUUCUUCUUACAAUACUUUUCAAUAAAACACUGUUUCGCAUGAGACGGUUCCUCAAAAAACAUAAUAUCGUGUAUGAGCUAAACAAAAACUUAGGGUUUUACAUGGUUUUAUGUUUUCCAGUGGAUCUGGUUAGAGCUAUGUCACGCUAAAUGGUGUUCUUUGCAUUUCUUCUUACAAUACUUUUCAGUAGAACACUGUUUCGCAUGAGACGGUUCCUCAAAAAACAUAAUAUCGUGUAUGAGGUAAACAAAAACUUAGGUUUUAUAUGGUUUUAUGUUUUCCAGUGGAUCUGGUUAGAGCCAUGUCACGCUAAAUGGUGUUUUUUGCAUUUCUUCUUACAAUACUUUUCAAUAGAACACUGUUUCGCAUGAGACGGUUCCUCAAAAAACAUAAUAUCGUGUAUGAGCUAAACUAAAACUUAGGUUUUAUACGGUUUUAUGUUUUCCAGUGGAUCUGGUUAGAGCCAUGUCACACUAAAUGGUGUUUAUUGCAUUUCUUCGUACAAUACUUUUCAAUAUAUCACUGUUUCGCAUGAGACGGUUCCUCAAAAAACAAAAUAUCGUGUAUGAGCUAAACAAAAACUUAGGUUUUAUAUGGUUUUAUGUUUUCCAGUGGAUCUGGUUAGAGCUAUGUCACGCUAAAUGGUGUUUUUUGCAUUUCUUCUUACAAUACUUUUCAAUAGAACACUGUUUCGCAUGAGACGGUUCCUCAAAAAACAUAAUAUCGUGUAUGAGCUAAACAAAAACUUAGGUUUUAUAUGGUUUUAUGUUUUCCAGUGGAUCUGGUUAGAGCCAUGUCACGCUAAAUAGCAUUCUUGUCAUUUCUUCUUUCCAUCCUUUAUAUUAUAUUAAAUAAUAUUUCAUACGGUAUUAUUUCGUUCUUUAAUUUAAUGUGUUUUUAGUGCUUCUGAAUGUGAUUUUGUUUUAAAUACUUAGCUUAUUAGCAUUCAUCAGUAUCCAAGAAUUCAUCAUAUUACUGCUAAUCAAUAAACAAACAACGGUUUUAGCGUUUAAAUACCGAAAAAACAACCUGCCUGUUCAUUUAUUACUUGUUUUAUUAAACAGGAAUUUGCAUAUCGAUCGUUUUCAAUUAACUUCGAACAGUUACAACUACACGUAAACUGAGCAUGUAGUCUAUCUACAGCAAGAUCGUGACCGCUGACUGCAGCUCUCCUUCUCCCUCCAUUUCACUCCCAAUCGACAUUUUCACCUUUGCUGAUAUGAUUACUCCACAGGAUACCUCCAUCCCCUGCAUACCUGGUCGCUAGAUUCGGCUGGCACGUCAUAUCGGUUUGACAGCCAACUCACGUAACUAUUGUUGAUUGAUCCACAGUCCACUGAAGUGCCUACGAUGAAGGGAACAACAUGGACAGUUCUACUCCGAAUUACUCCAACCCAUGCGAUGUUCAUCCAUGCGACAACCCACCUGAUCUGAGUGGAACUUAACUGAAGCAAGAGAGUGAUGCCUAAUUCCAUCUGCCAACUAGCUCCACUUCUCUCCCGUGCACCAGUCGCACCCACACCGACGUGUUCAUCUUGCCAGUUUUCCUCACACCCGUCCACUUGUCUCUUGAAGAUUGGCGUCCACAACACCAACGGUUGGUUAGGUCAUGCAAGCAUUGUUACAAUUGAUAAAAACACAUAUUUUCAUUUAGUGAAUGUGAUAACCUGUACUAAUAAUUUGGUCAACUUAGCGAUGAUAACUCAAUGUAAGUAUUAACAAACUCGGUACGUGUUUGUUAUUGUCAAUAGUAUCUUUAAAUUGUACAACUCGCUUAUGUUUGACAAUUACUGAGUAAUUGCUUUGCUUAUUGCAUGCUAAUUGCUGAAAAUUGCUUUUUAUUUUAAAUUCCUUAGCUAAAAAUUGCUUUUUCUUUCACAUUUCUCUGCUUAUUGAAUGACUAUUGCUAACUCAUUAGAUAGAACCUACUUCUCAUAUAAGUAGGUGGAUGCGGCCUCGAUUAGCGGGGGAACCACAUGAAAAAAAGCGAGCUACUGGGUGUACCUCCUGGGUAGUUUGGAAAUCACCUAAAAUAUAUAUGUAUAUAUUUAUAAAUAAAAGUUAAUAUAUAUAAAUUAACAUUGUUAUUUUUUAACAGGAAAUGCACAAUGCUAAAAACUGCGUAGGAGAUUUUAAUACAAUAGUACUACCAAGCCUGAUGUUGGCCGCUAUUUCAAUGAAUGCAGCAGUGUGACAGCUAGCAAUCAAAAGUAACAAGAUAUCGAGGAAAUGCAGAUGGCAAUAAACUGUGUAGGAGUUCAUGAUUGCAAUAGAAUAAAAUCGACCAAGCUUGAAGUCAGCAGCCCCUUCAAUGAAUGCAGCAGUGUGACAGCCAGCAAUCAAAAGUUACAAGAUAUCGAGGAAAUGCAGAAGGCAAAAAACUGCGUAGGAGAUCAUUAAUACAAAAGUAUUAUAUAAACCAAACCUGAUGUUGCCAGCUCCUUCAAUGAAUGCAGCAGUGUGACAGCCAACAAUCAAAAGUAACAAGAUAUCGAGGAAAUGCAGAAGGCAAAAAACUGCGUAGGAGAUCAUUAAACAAUAGUAUUAUAUAAACCAAACCUGAUGUUGGCCGCUCAUUCAAAGAAUGCAGCAGUGUGACAGCCAGCAAUCAAAAGUAACAAGAUGUCGAGGAAAUGCAGAGUAUAAUAAACUGUGUAGGAGAUUAUGAUUGCAAUAGAAUAAAAUCGACCAAGCCUGAAGUCCUUCAAUGCACGCAGCAGUGUGACAGCCAGCAAUCAAAAGUUACAAGAUAUCGAGGAAAUACAGAAGGCAAAGAAGCAGAUGUCAUCAAAGAAGAUCUUUGUUCCUGCAAUGUUUCCGCAGACGAUACAACCAACAGAGCGAAGUGGAAGGAAAAGACUCGGAAUAAAGACCCCACCACCAUAUGGGAACAAUGCAAGGGAGAGAGAGAGAAUAUAAUGUUAUAUUUUUAUUUUUUGAUAACAUAAAAUAAA